rnacentral:tRNA from 1 species
GCCCGAAUGGCUCAGUGGUAAAGCGUCUCACUAGUACCACCUGUCUAAGUCAUUUGACCAGGGCAGCGAACACGACAUGAGAAGAUCGCCAGUUCGAUUCUGGCUUUGGGCA